GACGAACGCUGGCGGCGUGCUUAACACAUGCAAGUCGAACGGAAAGGCCCUGCUUUUGUGGGGUGCUCGAGUGGCGAACGGGUGAGUACCACGUGAGUAACCUGCCCUUGACUUUGGGAUAACUUCAGGAAACUGGGGCUAAUACCGGAUAGGAGCUCCUGCUGCAUGGUGGGGGUUGGAAAGUUUCGGCGGUUGGGGAUGGACUCGCGGCUUAUCAGCUUGUUGGUGGGGUAGUGGCUUACCAAGGCUUUGACGGGUAGCCGGCCUGAGAGGGUGACCGGCCACAUUGGGACUGAGAUACGGCCCAGACUCCUACGGGAGGCAGCAGUGGGGAAUAUUGCACAAUGGGCGGAAGCCUGAUGCAGCAACGCCGCGUGCGUGAUGACGGCCUUCGGGUUGUAAACCGCUUUCGCCUGUGACGAAGCGUGAGUGACGGUAAUGGGUAAAGAAGCACCGGCUAACUACGUG
rnacentral:rRNA from 1 species